GUGCGCCCCACUACGCCCAGUGAAUUUUUGUAUUUCAGUAGAGAUGGGGUUUCACCAUAUUGGCCAAGCUGGUCUUGAACUCCUGACCUCAAGUGAUCCACCUGCCUCAGCCUCCUAAAGUGCUGGAAUUACAGGUGUGAGCCACCACGCCUGGCUGCAAAUCCAUGUUUUGUAGGCUGACAGAGUAUUACGUCCUCUUUUGGAGCGUCCAAAUAUGUGGGCAUGGAAGAGAUGAGUACAAACUCUUACAAAUGCUUGGUUAUUUGUCUUAAUGACCUGAGGAUAGCUCUAAGAGGCCCUUCUGAAGGGGAUUAAUGUGGUAUCGAUUUAGUAGAUGUGGAAUAUCUAUGCCUUGGGCCAAAUGCUCGUCCCUCUGUGGGCCAGGUUUGGUGGGAGCUGAGCCCUGGCCUUAAGCCUGACCUCUCUCUCACUGCCCUGGCAAUGACCACCCCCUUAUCCUGGCUGAGCUGGCACACCCAGCAUAGGAAAUGCAUGUUGGUGAGGUUUGGGCAGGAGAGAGAGGUGUUUGGUGAGACACCCAGCUAAAGGUUUCCUUUACCACAGAGUAGACAUUGCGGUUUUGCUGGAAUCACAUUCAGGUUUAUGUGCCUUUGGUUUCAUGAAAAGUCCAGGGCCAUUUGCCCAGGAGUGAAAUGACUUGACCCAGCUCAGCCACAAGUGAUAUUUUGGCUGGAGAUAAGCUCCUGCAGCAAAGGGGAAACACUCUGUGGGGCCUGGGUUAUACUGUUGCUCUGACGUGAAUGAGCUUGUGACUGAAGAUGGCCAGUGCUACUGUCCUAGCUUCAGUUUCUUCAUCUGCAAGAUGGGUGGGGGUGGAACGGAUGACCUCUCAAAGUCCUUCCAGCUCCAACAUUCUGAUUCUAUGCAGUACUGUCUCCAUCGUUUGUGGGGCCCAGUGCAAGAUGAAAAUGCCUGUGCAAAAUGAGAAUUUCAAGACGGUAGCAGCAGAACAUUAAACCAAGCACCAGACCCUCCUACACAUGGGGUCCAUAUGCCUUCACAGGUAGUGUGCCCAUAAAGCUGUCCUUGAUUCUAUGCAUCCCCAUGGCGCCUGUUUCUAAUUACACUUGAUGGAGUAUCGUGUAAUAGAGUGGACAGAUAUGGGUUUUCCAGUUAGAAAGACUUGGUCUUUAAUCUAGGCCUUGUGUACCAGUCCAAUCCUAGGUUCCUUCCCUAUCUGUUCCUUGUCUCAGUUUCUUCAUAUGUAAAACAGGGAUAAUCACACCCAUCUAGCAGGAAGGUUGUGAAAAAUAAAGACAGACACGCAGAAUACACAGUAGGGGUUCAGUAAAUAGACUCACCAGUAUUGCAAAGUAUCACAUAUUCACAUUAAACUGAUUUCCACCUGAAACAGCAUUUCAUGGAGCCAUGGCUUUUUAAGGCAAAGCUAUGCUAGAGAGAUAGCCAGAUUCAAAACAGACUUUCUUUUUUCCAAAAAAAAGUCACGAGGGGCUUUUUACAGUAACUGCAUCUGUGGCUCUCUGCUUUCUGGACCACACACUCUACGAUUUAGGAAGUCAUUCCGUUCCCAACUGAAAAUUAUCUCUUGGGCUUGGUCCCUUUCUUCUCUCAGUUCCCCAUCCUCCCACUCUUUUUUUCUGCUAUUCAGAACUGCAUAUGGGUUUUGAGAAACCUAUUUGCAUUUCAAAUUCAUUUCAUGGCUAUGAUUGUUCUCAUUUGCUUUGACUUCACAUGUAGCCAUAUGUGCAGUUUUUCACUCAUCUUGUGCAGCCAGAAAAGAGGACCAGACUUCCUUGGGACUCUCCCUCCUCUCAUUAAUGAAUGAUGCUAUAAGCAAAAGUCAGCUUCCACCAGUGGGGAAAAUAUUAUUCAUUCUUGUGUUCAUCUCUCCAUUCAUUCACUUGCGCUUUACCCUUUGAGCACUUAAUAUGUGUUAGCCAUGUUCCCAGACACUGGGAAUUUAGAGAUAAAUUAUGAUCUUUAUCCAAUUAGAAACUCAAGAACUAGUGAGAGAGACAAAUGAGAGAACAUAAAAUGUCAAAUACAACAAGGUAAAUAUUUUUAGAACGGUUGUGGAGUUGCAGGGAGACAGGAUGACUCCCAUGAGUUUUGUUUCCACCUGGGUGAGCCGGAGAAGGGAACAUUUGAGCUGAGUGUUGAAGGAUGCAAAGGAAUUUUCUAGAAAAAGAUACCUCCAUCUGAAAGGAAUCCUGGGACCUCACUGCUGCUUUUCAAUCCUUUAAAUAUCUUGUCAAUUCCCUGAGACAUUUAUCAUGUGUGUGGAACUCCAGCUUCACAAACCCCAUGGCCUUGGCUCACCAUCUACCCUCUUGCUCCAGUAGAGUGAAAAUGUCUAGAG
rnacentral:lncRNA from 10 species